AAACAAACUCUCCACAUAAACGAAAACGCGUUUUUUAUGAUGUGAAUGGGGGUUUGAAACGCAAGAGGGCGCUGUGGGGCCACUAAUAAGGACUUCGAAGGCAGUUUUAGACAAAAUAUUUAAAAAAAAAUUUUUUUUUAAAUGCUUAGUUUUAUGAUCAAAGCUUUAAGUUUUAAUUGUGGUGGCUAAACAUGUAAUGUAAUGCAACUGACAACUGUUGCAUUACAUUACAUUACAUUACAUGUUUUGUACAUCUUUCAAAGAGAAUUGAAAGAUGUACAAAUAAACGUCCCCAAAAAGCCAUCAUAUUUGAAAGGCAUACAUACAUUUAAAAAAGUUUCUUCAGUCCGAUAAAUGCUUAUCUUGAAAACAAUAUAGAGUUUAAAAAAACAAUAUAAAAAGGUGUUUUUUCAGUACCAUGUAGAUGCACUGUUGCUAUGUUUAAGACUACCUUUAGCAUAUAACUUAAUAUAUCAUUUAACUGUGUUAUAACAAGAGAACAUGUAAUAGCAUUUGAAAACAAACAGUUUAAACCUCCUCGGUGGGCGGGUGUUUGUGACGACACUCUGGGAUUUAAAAGGCCCACGACUGCCUCAGCAUUGAGCACUGAUCCUUGGUCCAGCUGGAAACUUCCCUGGAAGAAGAUAACACAGGCAUAAAAAUGAAUAAAAUUUGGAUUCUGUGUUUUGCGGUGCUGAUCAUCACCAUACCAUUUUCAACUCAGAAUAGUGAUGGUCAGAAGUCAGAAGUCAGUAGCUCAGCAUCCUCGAGUACUUCCACAAAUUCCAGCGCUGUAGGAUUGGGUCCUGUGCCCACCACACUGUACCUGCUGAUCCCUGCAGCCACCCUGGGCUUCAUCCACAGUAGAUCCUAAAAUGAUGACCAAGACAGAGACAGUGGCGAAAUGGACAGCCAUCCACCCAAAGAGCAAACUUUUCCACAAAACUUGAAGACAGAAGAUGCCGCAGCUCACAUUUUUGUAAUGGAUUUCAAGUAAUGAAAAUGAAUAAAGUUUGGAGAAUUUCUCCA
ensembl:lncRNA